UAUGUUUAUGGGGGGUGUUUUCCUCUCUAGGUGUUUUUGUAUGUUUAUGGGGGGUGUUUUCCUCUAGGUGUUUUUGUAUGUUUAUGGGGGGUGUUUUCCUCUCUAGGUGUUUUUGUAUGUCUAUGGGGGGUGUUUUCCUCUCUAGGUGUUUUUGUAUGUUUAUGGGGGGUGUUGUCCUCUCUAGGUGUUUUUGUAUGUUUAUGGGGGGUGUUGUCCUCUCUAGGUGUUUUUGUAUGUUUAUGGGGGGUGUUGUCCUCUCUAGGUGUUUUUGUAUGUUUAUGGGGGGUGUUGUCCUCUCUAGGUGUUUUUGUAUGUUUAUGGGGGGUGUUGUCCUCUCUAGGUGUUUUUGUAUGUUUAUGGGGGGUGUUGUCCUCUCUAGGUGUUUUUGUAUGUUUAUGGGGGGUGUUGUCCUCUAGGUGUUUUUGUAUGUUUAUGGGGGGUGUUGUCCUCUCUAGGUGUUUUUGUAUGUUUAUGGGGGGUGUUGUCCUCUCUAGGUGUUUUUGUAUGUUUAUGGGGGGUGUUGUCCUCUCUAGGUGUUUUUGUAUGUUUAUGGGGGGUGUUGUCCUCUCUAGGUGUUUUUGUAUGUUUAUGGGGGGUGUUGUCCUCUCUAGGUGUUUUUGUAUGUUUAUGGGGGGUGUUGUCCUCUCUAGGUGUUUUUGUAUGUUUAUGGGGGGUGUUGUCCUCUCUAGGUGUUUUUGUAUGUCUAUGGGGGGUGUUGUCCUCUCUAGGUGUUUUUGUAUGUUUAUGGGGGGUGUUGUCCUCUCUAGGUGUUUUUGUAUGUUUAUGGGGGGUGUUGUCCUCUCUAGGUGUUUUUGUAUGUUUAUGGGGGGUGUUGUCCUCUCUAGGUGUUUUUGUAUGUUUAUGGGGGGUGUUGUCCUCUCUAGGUGUUUUUGUAUGUUUAUGGGGGGUGUUUUCCUCUCUAGGUGUUUUUGUAUGUUUAUGGGGGUGUUGUCC